rnacentral:lncRNA from 1 species
AUGUUCCACGACUUGCAGGCAGACCUUGAGCUUCUGUCUCGCAGGGUGACACUGUUGGAGGCAAUCAUCUGGCCAGAGCCUGAUCUAGGGUCUGGGGACGGACCCUUCGGCACAAUCUCCACUAGUUUCUACAGAGAUAAGCGAGCAGAUGCACUUCCACAUCGACUUGCUUCUCCUUUGUCCAGCGACACCAAGGUUCGAGGGAAAUAAGCCAAUUCCCCACACCCCCUCUGAAGAUCAGCACUCAGCACAUUUAGACUGAAUGGGAAACAACAACAUUGCUACAUUUACGAUGGGAGACACCUCAGGGAAACUCCACUGGUGCUCCGUCUGGGAAACGUGAGAACUAGUCUGACCCACGUGAACCCCCCUCCCCUGAAAACAACAAACGGCUCCUUCUGUAUUUAUUUCCUGUCUGAGGGAGGUAAAACAUCUUUGGUGCUCGUACGCAAGCUAACGGACAAAAAGGGUCGUUCAAGGAAAGGGACUGAAGGAGAAAUCAAAGACAAAGAGACUGCUUUUGUAUUACCUUUUCAAUGUAACUCACACCCCAAGUUAGUCCAUAAUCAGCAUGUUUGGUUAGCCGGAAACUACAGCCUCCCUCGCCUAGUAAUUAUUUAGUUAUACUGUGUUAAACUCAGUGUUAUGUCGUGCACUAAAAGGAUGAAGUCCUUUCUGCUCGGGAGAUAUUAAAACCUGGAAACAUCCGGAAACAUUUCGGAGACAUAAGCUACCAGAGACAGAGUAAAUUCUGCACCGUACUGUAAUAUCACCAAGUUUAUCACCGUACUGGUUAUUAGAGCUACUAUCUUUACCAAGGAGCAAAUAUUGAUUCCUGGUUAUUGUUUUCUGGAGUUUUAUUGAGCUUAUUACAAGUUUAUAAAUAUUAUUUUGUUAUUGCACAUAGUUCCUGUUAUGAACAUAUACGUAGGCUAUGUCUGAAUGAGGUAACCUUUUAAAUAAUAAUAUAAAACAUCUGGUUUCCAUGUGUUUCUGAGCAGUAGGAACCAUGGUUGGGGUCAGUUAUAAUUGUAAUUGUGUAACUGAUAAUUAAUUACAAUUAUGGCGUAUUUACAAUUGUAAUUUUAAAAAUCUGUUGCUCUCAUAAUCUUAAUUAGAUUGUAAUUGAGUUUAGGUAAUUGACUAUAAAAAUGUUCAAUUAUAAUUUCAUGCAAAACUGGGGAACUAUGUUACAGUUCGAUGUACAUUUCUACACAUAUGUAUUUAACAAUUAUUAAAAUAUGUUUUAUAUCAAGCUUUCCCACAUUUGAGCAUUUAAACAUUUUUUUAACUGAGGGGUAUACUGACACAAAAUAGGCUCAGAUGCCGACACCAAAACUUCUAAAACCUUUAAUUAUGAAGCCUGACAAGGUAACCAAGAGAUAAAAAAGAAAUUACAUGAUAGAUAUUUGUUUUUAUUGUAUUUUACAGCUGAUUUAGGACUCGUUAUCAUAAGAGAUGCUAACACAAGAGGAAGGUUAACUUUUAUUAGGUUAUUUACUUCAGGCUCAGUAAUUGUGAUUCAUUCUAAUUGAUCUUUAGUAAUUGAGAACAUAAUUGUAAUAGACUUUCUGAGGAUAGAAAAUUAAUUGUAUUUUAAUUGUAAUUGGAAAAAAUGCUGGUUACUGUAACCGUAAUUGAAUUGUAAUUGAACAUGGGUAGUUGAAAACGUAAUUGUAACUGAAAAAUGUAAUUGACCCUGGCGAGUAGUUCCCACUGCAUAUUUGCAAGUUUAUAAAUGUUAAUUCUAUUAUUGUGCAUAGUUCCUGUUAUGAACCUAUGAGGUCACCUUUUAAUAGUCAUAAACAUCCCCCACCAAAUUGGUUCUCAUUAUAACUCACAACCUUUUCCUAAAUGUCCUGAAUCUAAGAACUUACAGUAGAUGUAUACAUAAGAAAAUAUUAUCACAUCAGAAGAUAAAAUUACUAACUAUCUUAAAUGAUUUCUAUAGAAAAGCUGUCCCCUUUGAAGAUACCUUGAACCGAGUUUAAAAAAAAACGAUAAAAGGGCAAUAAUUACGGAAAAAAUAAUUGCUUGCUUCUCAUUUUCGAACUCCAUCAAGGUAUUGAUACCGUGAAGCUGUACACCGAAUUUGGUUAUCGUAUCUUAAAUGGUUUCUGAGAAAAGCUGUCCCCUUUGAAGAUACCUUGAACCGAGUAAAAAAAAACGGAAAAAGGGCAAUAACUCCGGAAAAAAUUAUUGCGCUCUUCUCAUUUUCAAACUCUAUCAAGGUAUUGAUACCCUGAAGCCAUCGUAUCUUAAAUUAUUUCUGAGAAAAGCUGUUCCCUUUAACUCAGAGUUCAAACCUAUAUCCCCCUGAACACUUUGUGAUGGGGGAUAAUAAUAAUUACAAAAUAAAUUAAUAAUAAAAAUACA